GCUCACACAUUUUCAGUCCGGUUUCUGCCGUUGUUUAGUAAACAUACACAGCUUGUGCGAGUGCUCGAUUUACAUCGCCUUUUGUGAUUAUUAACGUUACUAAUUGUGAUUUUCUCAUGAGCUGGUUUUAAAAAGUCUAUGGCGUUUUUUUCACAUUUUUUUUGUUUGUAGUGUUUUUGUUUGCAAAUGCCCGACAGUUGUUUUCAAGUGGCAUAUAACAAUACAAUCCGUGAAAAUCACCAUUUCGCAGGCUUUUUAUUAAUGACAGCCCCGAAAUUCGGAAAGAGUGGAUAUAAUAAAUAUCAGAAGCAAUAUAAUUAAAGCCGAUUUUCGUCGAUGAGGAUUACGUGUUUACAUGUAACUAAAUAAAAAGUGGUUUUUACAACACUGUGAUUAUUAUAUAGUAGCGUGACGAUUUUAGUUCUCUUUAAAAAAAAGGAAAUUCAAAGAAAAAAAAUUUAGAAAUUCAAUUUAGUGCUAUAUCGAAAGGAGAGUGUUUUAUUCAUAAAUAAAUAAUUUGUGCUCAACGAUCAAAACACAAUUUGAUCGAAAAAGAAAAAUAAUUAUUUUUCCCUUUUGAAUCGAUCCAAACAAAAGCGUCAAAAUUAUAAAUUAUAGCAUGUUGUUUGAGAAUCCGGCCGUAGCGGCUAAGCUGCCUUUCCCGUACAACGUACCACCACCAAUGCAAGCAGCUGCAGCAUUGCCAAUGCCAAAUCUCAGAUACUUCAGUCCUGAUAAAGUCAGUCAAACAAAUGGACCACUUCCUGGUGCGAUUGAAAAUGGUGCACUAAUUCAUCACGAUUUACACAAUGCAUUGGCUGCAAUGAAAACUGAGGCAGCGCAUCAACAGCAACAACAACAGCAGCAGCAGCAACAAACACAGCAUACCAAUGGUACAACAGCAUCACAUUCCGGUUCGUCAGGUCGAUCAACGCCAAAUAAUGCAGAUCCGGCACCUGGUAAAUUGUUUGUUGGCGGUCUAAGUUGGCAAACAUCUUCGGAAAAGUUGCAAGAAUAUUUCGGUGUAUUUGGAACAGUAACUGAUGUACUGAUCAUGAAGGAUCCGGUCACACAGAGAAGCCGCGGAUUUGGUUUCAUCACAUUCUCAGAACCAAGUAGUGUAGAAAAUGUUCUCAAAGUGCCAAUUCACAUAUUAGAUGGCAAAAAAAUUGACCCCAAACACGCAACACCAAAGAAUCGACCACGCCAAACGCAUCGAACCAAGAAGAUAUUCGUUGGUGGCGUCAGCCAGGACACAUCCGCUGACGAAGUGAAAGCCUAUUUCAACCAGUUCGGCAAAGUCGAAGAAACCGUCAUGUUGAUGGACCAACAAACGAAACGGCAUCGUGGUUUCGGUUUUGUUACAUUCGAGAAUGAGGAUGUGGUCGACCGUGUCUGCGAAAUUCAUUUCCAUACAAUUAAGAAUAAGAAAGUCGAAUGCAAGAAGGCUCAACCGAAAGAGGCUGUUACACCCGCAGCGCAGCUGUUACAGAAACGUUUGAUGCUGGGCGGUUUGGGUGUACGCAUGGUUGCACCGCCAACGAUGACCGGACCCGGUUCGGUGACGGCGGCCACACAAUUGCAAGUUGCUCAGGCUCAGGCACAGGCAGCUCAGGCUGCAGCCGUUAUGCAAGCUCAAAAUGCGGCAGCUGCAGGCUAUGGAAAAGUGUUCACUACAUAUCCACCAACAUUGCAUAGUUUCAGAUAUGCACCAUAUCCAAUUCCAGCUAGUGCUGCCGCAGCUGCUGCACAUAUGUCUGCAGCUCAACACGCUCAGCCACAAGGCCAACCAGCCCAACAGCAACAGGCAUUAGCAGCCGCACCGACUGUUGGUACGCAAAAUCCAUAUCAUCCACAAGGUUAUGGUUUGCCGAACGUCGACAUGUCAAGUUUUCAGGGCGUCGAUUGGAGUUCCAUGUACGGCAUGGGAAUUUAUUGAUUUGAUUGGGAAAGUGUUGCCAUUAUGUGUUCCGAGCGCUUGCGAUUCCAAAACAAUGAGCAAAGAGAAUAUUGUGUAUUUGAAGAGAAUGCAGACUGUGACUGAACAUAGAUUUAUGGUAUGAACGAGACACAUUUAAUAUAAUUAUUUUUCACAUCUUACUGGAUUAUGAGAAAUUAUUUUCUUUUCUUUUUUCAAGUCAAUUGGUUGACUAAUAUUGUUCGUCACCAUUGCCAUCUAUUUUGAGUCACACCAAACUACAACAAAAAUCAAUUAAUAUUGAGAACCUUUCUGUAGCUUUGAACAUUAUUUUAUGUUGGUAAUUUUCGUUGUAAGAAAUUGCUUAGUCUCUUUUCAUUUCUUAAUUAAUUUCUAUUAUAAUCUUAUCCAAUUGUCAUGUUAACCAACUAAAUGAUGAAUUAGGAUUCAUCGGAUCGCCUAGGACUUUAUUCGAAAAAAUUUAUUAAUUGAAUUAGUUGCAGCAUUUUGUUAACUUCCGUAUGACAAAGAAUAUACAAAUGUAAAACGACUAAAAAAACACUUAUCAAUCGGACCCAGGAAAAGAUAUGAAGAACGGAUGGAUUCUAGUGUCCGCAUUGAAAUGUACAGAUUCGUCGAGAAUCCAUUGAUAAAUCAUCAAAUAUCUGAUCCAAUCAACUGUCCGAACGUUGUGCUUAACCUAAUUGAAUACAAUGACAAAAUAGGAGUAGUCAGCAAAGUUACAUUUUUCCUCUGCAUUUCUAACGAUUCUUAGAACUGCUAAUGUUUGUUCUGCAUUUCGCAUGGAAAAUGUUUGUUCAAAUUAGAUAACGACAACCCAGGACCUAUUUUCAGGAUUAUUUUUUGAGAUUUCAAGAAUCUUCCAGAAUAACAGAAAUUUCAGUAAUUCAAAUUUCGCCGAAAUAUCUCGAAAAUCUUAAACUUAAGAAUUUCAAAAAAUUCCAGUUUCAAGAUUCUUCAAGAAUUUCGGGAAUUUUCAAUUUAACGAAAAUAGGACCUGCUACAAUCAUUACGAACACAAUCAAUUCCAAUUUCAAGCUGACUAUUGAACGAUAAAAUUUGAUCGAAUGAUCUCAACUGUGUAACUUCGAAGUCUGAAAGAUUCGUUUUCCUCGUCCCUUGUUUGAGGAAACUCUAACGUUUACUAACUUCAUCCACAAUAAACAACCACGGAAAGUAAUUUCACUGGUUGUAAACCAUCCACACUAUGAUUUACUGAUCACAUCUCCUAUUACACUACAGGUCGUCGAUUGCUCAAUUUAGAACCGAUAUUUUUUACAUUUCUCUCAUUUUAAAUUAACCUUUUGCCGACGGAUAUUCGUGUUUCGACUUCGACGAUUUGCUUUGGCUUAAGCGGUCUUAAUUGUAUGUUAAAACAAAUGAAGUAAAAGAUUUUGCUUUUGAAAAUAUCGAAGGAAGUAACAAAGUCAAUAAAAUCAUACUGAUAACAUGCCUGCCGUCUGUAAAAGGUUAAUGAGUUCACCGAGACUAAACUGGAAAUGAUGUAACUCAUUUAUCUGCAAAAUUUUGAUAGUUAAACUAGUUUUCAGUUUUUCCCGGUGACCAUUCCCCGUAUAUCUGUUACUAAUUUUACAUUUUCGUAUUGAUUUUCGUUCCUGUUGACGAAAGUUUCUUUUAACAUUUUAACAGACUAGCAACAUAGCAAUUUACUUCCCAUGAAUUUAAGUAUUUAUCCUUCCUUACCUAACGUCUCUUUUUUACUUAAUCGAAUCGCAAUAUUAUCAAUGUUGGUCUAGGGUGUAGUUAGGUUGAACCUAGUGCUGUAAUAUGAAUGACCGUUGGUACAAAUAAUGUUAAUUUAUAGUUAGAAAUAUUGUAUUCAUAUGCAACGGAUUAUGGAAUGGAACUGGAAACAAUUUAAACCUUUGUGAAUGCGGUGACGAAAGGAUGAACAGAAGAAAGAAACGGAGCAUAAAAUCACUAACCCAAAUGUUAACCAAUUUAAGACUUGUCCUAAUAGAGAGACAAACAUCAAUGACAAUAAACUUCGUGUUUGAUCUUGGUCAAUUAAUACUAACAAUUCCAUUCGUCUUCAUUGAUUUUGCCGUUCAUACUGUGGUGUAUAAAUCAAAAUGAAGACAUCUGAAAACAGAGACGAAUAAAACUCGUGUCACUGUUACCAUGCCAUUACCUUCAUCAUCUUGAAUAUUUCAUUAUCGCA